rnacentral:lncRNA from 1 species
AAAAGCUCCCCCACUGAGUACCUUGUGAACCCCCACUCCUGCCCGCCAGAGAACAACCCCCCUUUUUCCUUUACCUACCCAAAUCCUAUAAAACGGCCCCACCCCUCUCUCCCUUCGCUGACUCUCUUUUUGGACUCAGCCCGCCUGCACCCAGGUGAAAUAAACAGCCAUGUUGCUCACACAAAGCCUGUUUGGUGGUCUCUUCACACGGACACGC